rnacentral:rRNA from 1 species
GACGAACGCUGGCGGCGUGCCUAACACAUGCAAGUCGAGCGGAGAUUGCAGCAAUGUAAUCUUAGCGGCGGACGGGUGAGUAACGCGUAGGCAACCUACCUUUAUCUGGGGGAUAACACAGGGAAACUUGUGCUAAUACCGCAUAACAUCAUGAAGAGACAUCUCUUUAUGAUCAAAGGAGUAAUCCGGAUAGAGAUGGGCCCGCGUCCGAUUAGCUAGUUGGUGGCGUAACGGACCACCAAGGCGACGAUCGGUAGCCGAACUGAGAGGUUGAUCGGCCACAUUGGGACUGAGACACGGCCCAGACUCCUACGGGAGGCAGCAGUGGGGAAUAUUGCGCAAUGGGGGAAACCCUGACGCAGCAACGCCGCGUGAAGGAUGAAGGUUUUCGGAUCGUAAACUUCUUUGAUGAGGGACGAAUAAAUGACGGUACCUCAAAAACAAGCCACGGCUAACUACGUACCAGCCGCCGCCGUAAUAC